UGUAAAUUAUUGGUUACAAUGUUUAACAAUAGGAAAUAUUCAAGAAUAAAUAAAAUAAAAGUUUAAUCCUAACAACACAAAACAUUCCAGGAAUGUAGGUACUACCGUUCUAUUCCGUGAACAUCUAUCUGAUUAAAUUAUGGGUGGAAAGUUACCACAAGAUAUUCUAUGAACAUAGUACAAUGUCUUCCUGGAGGGGUAAAAUUUUCCAUUACAAGAUUUUAAGAGAGGCCAUUUAUUGUACUGUUCAAUUUGCGUUCAUUUUCAAAUUUGCCGCGCGAGUAUCUAUGUAGCGUCUCGUGGUCAUUGGUCAUCACAUUUCAUUUUCAUAACAUAACCGAUAACCUAAAAAUUUAGUAAAGUAAAAAUUUUGAUUGGAAAAAAGUGCAUCGAUAAGGGGGUGUGGGAAAUGGAAAUUAGUGGCUUUUUUGCUGUACUGUCUGCUUCUGCUAGUUUUUGCUCUGGGCUCUGGCUAGAUCUCUUGUUUAAACAAUUUUAAUCAGCUGAAAGUGGCCUACAAAAAAAAACCAAGAAGGAAAUGUAUAGCCUUGUGGCUAUGAAAGGCAAAAGAGAGAUAUAAAAAGUGUAUUGGCUAGUUGGAAGAAAGUCCACAUUGUCCAUGCAUAAUAAGUUAUUACUUUAUCAACAAAUAUCAAGAAGAUAGCAGGGUCACGAGCAUCAACUUCAUAAGUUCAAGAAUAUCGAGGAAAUCCAGCUCCUCGAUACUACUGGGCAAACUAGAAGAUUGAAGAGGACAAAUCCUUUUGAACUAGUUUGAGUGAUAGGUGAUAGUGAAAAACGGAGCAUAGUGCUUGUGUGCUGUGCCUGUGUAUGUUAGAAUAAUAGUGCACGAUCUUGUUAGAUUAGAUAAGAGACGCUAUGGGGUAAGCUCUUCAUUUUAAGAAACAGUAGUAAUUUAGGUUAAAUUAAAAUUGCUCAUUGGUCAGUUAUGACCAGAUUGUUUUUUUAUGUUUGGCAAAAAGGACUUAAGUCAGAAUUGCACAUUGAUAAUGUUUUGAUGAUUUCUGGACCAGAAAAAAACUGUUGUAGAUGUAAACUGUAUGUACAGUAGAAUCUACUACAGUACUGUAGAAAUCAUCAAAACAUUAUCGAUGUGCAAUUCUGACUUAAGCCCUUUUUCCCAAACAUCAGAGAAUUGUAAUGUACAAUAAUUCUCCUAUCUGCUUUUUCAUGAAUUUUGUAGGAGACGAAAAACCAUUUUUAGGAUCAUCUGCUUUCACAUGUAAAUUUUGACAUGUUUUGUAGUAAAUAGAUAGUUGAAUUUACUACAAAACAUGUCAAAAAAUAUAUGAAAACAGGAGGUGACUAUAAAAAAAGUUUUUAGUCUCUCUUACAAAACUCAUGAAAAAACAAAUCGGAGGUAUGUCACAUCAGUGACUAAGAAUGUCUAAAAAAUAUACUUUGAUGUCCCAAGAACCAAAUAUAACCUACAGUCCAUCUAAUUUACUUACUGUUCCACGUCAUUAUCUACGCCAGAGAUCUAAGUUGACAUAGUUGCCAAAGUAUAAAAAGAUCCUGAAUCCAUUUUAAAUCAAAUAUGUCACAUAAUUAUUGUAAACGUGGAUUAUACAACAAAACAAAUUAAUAUUCAAUGUAAAUAAGUAAAAACUUAAGAAAUAGAGAACAAGAAUUAAGUUAUAAUCUUUUAAGAUUUGCAGUGCAAGAGUUUUUGCACUGCAUUGUUAAUAAUUAAAAAACGGCUCCGAACUCUUGGCAAAAAGCCGGUAGGUUUCUUUGUAUAAGUAUGUCUACAAUAACAACUAAAAAAGUUGUCAGAUACCUCGAUUAUUCCAAGUCGUUAUAAAAUUAGGUGAAAUUUAUAUUUUUAUAGUAGAGGAUCUUUUUAUAGUAAAGUAAAUAAUAAAAACAGUAAAUAUAAUAAAUAAAACAGAUACUUAUAGUAAAGAAUAUAAACAAAUAUGAAGUGUCAUCACCGUAACUGUCAAAUAAAUGUUACCAAUUUAUUCUAAAAUGUCACCUUCGUUCGAUUACAGUUACAGUGUGAUCCGAACAAAUCUGCUUCAUAAAAACGCUUUAUAAUCCAUUUAUACAAAUUAAAUGAAACAUAUUAUUGUGUAUUUCUUUAGGUUAACAUUAAUAGAAAUCUUCAAAUAUUAUUUCUACGCGUAUAUAAUAAAAUAUGUCUAGUGGCUGUAAUUCCAGUGUACUCGGCAAAGUGAUUCUAAAAAAGAACACACCUACCGCCUAAAUAUUUCGUGUUGGUAUCAUGCGACCUCACAGGCUACGACGCGGAUGACGCGCAACAGUUAGUAAAUUAGACGAAGUAUGUAGAUAUAUACAGGGUGUAACAAAAAUACAGGUCAUAAAUUUAAUCACAUAUUCUGGGACCAAAAAUAGUUUGAUUGGACCUAACUUACCUUAGUACAAAUGUGCACACAAGAAAAGUUACAGCCCUUUGAAGUUAUAUAUAUAUAAUAGCACCAAGGGUCUUAGAGGCCCAUGGCUUGAAAAGUUUGUUUUUUUUCUUCAUUUUCACGUUUCUUUAUGUACUGAGAUCUUCUCUGGCUUGAUAUGUGAUUUUUCUCCAUUCCUUCCUGUUAUUCAUUUUUCUUUUCUGACCCUGUAGCACCAUUCUUUCCAAAUCUUUUUCGACCUCUUGCUUCCAUCUAUUUUUCGGCCUUCCUCUUCUCUUUCUUGAAGCUGUAGUGUAGUUUAGUACCAUUUUUGGAGUCCUCGUGUUUGGCAUCCUUUCAAUGUGACCUCGCCAUCUAAGUCUCUGUGCCUUUAUCACUCAUUUGAAGUUACAAGAUGAAGUGAUUUUUUCCAAUAUAUCGAAAACUAUUAGAGAUUUUUUAUUGAAAAUGGACAUGUGGCAUUAUUAUGGCAGCAGUAUCUUACGAAAAAACUAUAGUAAAAUUUGGACACCCCAUAAAAAUUUUAUGGGGGUUUUGUUCCUUUAAACCCCCCCAAACUUUUGUGCACGUUUCAAUUUAAUUAUUAUUGUAGUACCAUUUAAACACAACGUUUUAAAAACUUUUUUGCCUCUUAUUGCUUUUUCAAAAAGUCAAUUUUUAUCGAAAUAUUUUGAAUAUUUGUCAAAUCCACCACAUAUUUGUAUAUGGUUAAGUACGAUUAUGGAGACUUGGUAAUAAUAUGCAGACUUAUUUAUGCUUUACAUUUUUAGGGAUAUUUUGAACCAUAUUAAAAAAGAAGCCAGAUCUCGAUAAAAUGUGCCUUAUCGAAAAAAUACAAAGAGGCAAAAAAGUUUUAAAAACAUUCUGUUUAACUAAUGGUACCUCAGUAAUAGUUUAAUUGGAACGUACACAAACAUUUGGGGGGUUUAAAGGAACAAAACCCCCAUAAAAUUUUUAUGUAGACAUGUUAAAAAAGAAGUCACAACUCGAUAAAAACUGCCUUAUCUGAAAAAUACUAAGAAACAAAAA